rnacentral:rRNA from 1 species
GACGAACGCUGGCGGCGUGCUUAACACAUGCAAGUCGAACGAUGAAGCCGGAGCUUGCUCUGGUGAAUUAGUGGCGAACGGGUGAGUAACACGUGAGUAACCUGCCCUAGACUCUGGGAUAACUGCGGGAAACUGUAGCUAAUACCGGAUACGACCCUCGGAGGCAUCUCCUGGGGGUGGAAAGAAUUUCGGUCAAGGAUGGACUCGCGGCCUAUCAGCUAGUUGGUGAGGUAAAGGCUAACCAAGGCGACGACGGGUAGCCGGUCGGGGGGGGUGGACGGACAAGCUGGGACUGAGACACGGCCCAGACUCCUACGGGAGGCAGCAGUGGGGAAUAUUGCACAAUGGGCGCAAGCCUGAUGCAGCAACGCCGCGUGAGGGAUGACGGCCUUCGGGUUGUAAACCUCUUUUAGCAGGGAAGAAGCGAAAGUGACGGUACCUGCAGAAAAAGCACCGGCUAACUACGUGCCAGCCGCCGCCGUAA